rnacentral:lncRNA from 1 species
AUUUUUUAUGUCUUUUACUAAUUUAAUUGUUAAAAAAUAUAUAAAAUCUUAAAUAAGAUCAAUGUUUUAAUCAAUAGAAAUUGAGGUUUUAAAUUAUGUUAGGGUUAGGUUGAGUUGGUUAGAUUUUGAUUAGGAUUUGGUUAGGUUUUGGUUAAGAUUUGGUUUAGGAUUAAAAUUGGAUUAGGAUUUAAGAUUUGAUUAAGGUUUAAUUAGGAUUUAGAAUUAGAUUAGGAUUUAGGAUUUGAUUUAGGAUUUUUUUAGGAUUUAGGAUUUAGGAUUUGCUUAAGAUUUAAGAUUUAAGAUUUGUUUAGGAUUUAGGAUUUAAGAUUUGCUUAGGAUUUAAGAUUUGGCUUAAGGUUUGAUUAAAGUACAUUAGGAUUUCAACUAAGAUUAAAUUAAGACUUGAUU